rnacentral:rRNA from 1 species
AUGCCUCACNAUNNGUANANNUNNUNNNNNNCCCNCCCCAGAUUGAACGCUGGCGGCGCUGCUUAACGCAUGCAUGUUUGACUGCGGCNAAAGGCCCUUUCGGGGUGGUGGGGCGGCGAUUGGGUGAGUAACACGUGAGUAAUCUGCCCCUCACUCAGGGAUAACCGCGGGAAGCUGCGGCUAAUACUUGAUAUGACCACGUCUCGCAUGGGGUGUGGUGGAAAGCGUUUAGUGGUGAGGGAUGUGCUCGCGGCCUAUCAGCUUGUUGGUGAGGUAGUGGCUCACCAAGGCUUCGACGGGUAGCCGGCCUGAGAGGGUGACCGGCCACACUGGGACUGAGACACGGCCCAGACUCCUACGGGAGGCAGCAGUGGGGAAUAUUGGACAAUGGGCGAAAGCCUGAUCCAGCAACGCCGCGUGAGGGAUGACGGCCUUCGGGUUGUAAACCUCUUUCACCUCUGACGAAGCGCAAGUGACGGUAAGGGGAGAAGAAGGACCGGCCAACUACGUGCCAGCAGCCGCGGUAAUACGUAGGGUCCGAGCGUUGUCCGGAAUUAUUGGGCGUAAAGGGCUCGUAGGCGGUUUGUCGCGUCGGGAGUGAAAACCAGGUGCUUAACACCUGGCUUGCUUCCGAUACGGGCAGACUAGAGGUAUGCAGGGGAGAAUGGAAUUCCUGGUGUAGCGGUGAAAUGCGCAGAUAUCAGGAGGAACACCGGUGGCGAAGGCGGUUCUCUGGGCAUUACCUGACGCUGAGGAGCGAAAGUGUGGGGAGCGAACAGGAUUAGAUACCCUGUUUUUCCACACCGUAAACGUUGGGCGCUAGGUGUGGGAUCCGGGUUCCAUGGUUUCCGUGCCGCAGCUCANAAAAACGCAAAAUUAAGCGCCCCGGCUGGGGAGUAAUGGCCGCAAGGCUAAACAUAAANNNNNNNNNNNUUNGNNCCGGAUUUA